rnacentral:rRNA from 1 species
GUUCCACACGUUCCCAUCCCGAACACGACCGUUAAGCCCUCUAGCGCCGAUGGUACUUGGACCGCAGGGUCCUGGGAGAGUAGGAAGCCGCCA